UACGGAGGGUGCGAGCGUUGUCCGGAAUCACUGGGCGUAAAGGGCGCGUAGGCGGCCCGUCAAGCGUGUGGUGAAAGCCCGGGGCUCAACCCCGGGUCGGCCGUGCGGACUGGCGGGCUCGAGCACUGUAGGGCGGGUGGAAUUCCGGGUGUAGCGGUGGAAUGCGUGAGAGAUCCGGAGGAAUACCGGUGGCGAAGGCGGCAUCCUGGACCGGCAUUGACGCUGAGGAGCGAAAGCCAGGGGAGCAAAGCGGG
rnacentral:rRNA from 1 species